rnacentral:lncRNA from 1 species
GUUUUCGUAUUUUUUGGUGGAGACGGGGUUUCGCCGUGUUGGCCGGGCUGGUCUCCAGCUCCUGACCGCGAGGGAUCUGCCAGCCUCGGCCUCCUGAGGUGGCGGGAUUGCAGACGGAGUCUCCCUCACUCAGUGCUCAAUGUUGACCAGGCUGGAGUGCAGUGGCAUGAUCUCGGCUCGCUACAACCUCCACCUCCCAGCCGCAUGCCUUGGCCUCCCAAGGUGCCGAGAUUGCAGCCUCUGCCCGGCGGUCAUCCCCUCUAGGAAGUGAGGAGCGUCUCUGCCCGGCCACCCAUCGUCAGGGAUGUGGGGAGUGCCUCUGCCCCCCGCCCCGUCUGAGAUGUGAAGAGCGUCUCUGCCCGGCCGCGACCCCGUCUGGGAACUGAGGAGUGUCUCUGCCCCGCCGCCACCCCGCCUGGGAGGUGAGGAGCGUCUCUGACCUGCCGCCCCAUCUGAGAAGUGAGGAGUCCCUCCGCCCAGCAGCCGCCCCUUCUGGGAAGUGAGGAGCGUCUCCGCCUGGCAGCCGCGCCAGUCUGGGAGCUGCUAUUGUUUCUGAAGAAAUGUCAGCAGUUAUUGGAACCAUUGUUCUUUGUAUUUAUGUAAUGGAAUUGAAUGAAGCAAGUGUCAGAUCUACAUCUCUACAAACACUCACUUUAUCAGUUCAGAGAAUAAAGAGAUGAAUUUAAUAAUGCCACUGGACACUUAUACUCUAUCGGAUCCUAAUAAUUUCUCACACUAAUGAAUUCUUCUAUCAACUUCAUGUUAAUCAAGAGGAGACAGAGCCAAGAAGUGAGUAAUUGCUUACUGAAUUGUGAAAGCUGGGAUGAUUUAACUACAGGCAAUCAUCCAUUGGCUCAAUUUAAUGAUCAUCCUGGAUAAAUCUCUGCACAACAAUAAGAAGGAAAUGAGCUACAGAUAUGGCAAAUCUUUUAUAACUCCACAUCACAUUCUGU